rnacentral:rRNA from 1 species
UGCGGGAGGAAGGUCUAUUGAUUGUAAACCGCUUUUGAUAGGGAAGAAGAUCUGACGGUACCUAUCGAAUCAGCAUCGGCUAACUCCGUGCCAGCAGCCGCGGUAAUACGGGGGAUGCAAGCGUUAUCCGGAAUUAUUGGGCGUAAAGCGUCCGUAGGUGGYUUUAAAAGUCUGUUGUCAAAUCGCGAGGCUUAACCUCGUACAGGCAGUGGAAACUAUAAGACUAGAGUGCGGUAGGGGUAGAGGGAAUUUCCAGUGUAGCGGUGAAAUGCGUAGAUAUUGGAAAGAACACCGSUGGCGAAGGCGCUCUACUGSGCCUGCACUGACACUGAGGGACGAAAGCUAGGGGAGCGAAAGGGAUUAGAUACCCC